rnacentral:misc_RNA from 1 species
GCCUAAAAUAAGUUCUGGACUGGCUUUAUAUACUACAGAAACCAAAACUAGUGAGAAAUUAAUGCCUAGCCAACUCAAAAUUAUCUCUGCUUGUACAAGGAGGACGAAGGAUGAACAUCAACUGCCUUUGAGCCACGGCUUUGGUUUAGUUCAGUCGCUGGAACAGUAUUAACAAACUGAUGUGGUGGAGGUGUGUUUGGCAACCCCAUAGAGCCUUCCAAAUAUGGUGGUGGCCUAUAAGCAUCACCAUUUAUGGUGUUUGGCAACUCCAUAGAGCCUUCCAGUUUUGGUGAUGGCCUAUUAGCAUCACCAGAUAUGGUUUUCCGCAAACCCUUAGAGCUUUCCGUGUACGGAGAAGGCCUACAAGCAUUACUAGAUAUGGUGUUUGGUAACCCCGGAGAGACUUUCAAGUAUGGCGGUGUCCU